rnacentral:rRNA from 1 species
AGUGAACGCUGGCGGUAGGCCUAACACAUGCAAGUCGAACGGCAGCACAGGAGAGCUUGCUCUCUGGGUGGCGAGUGGCGGACGGGUGAGGAAUACAUCGGAAUCUACUCUGUCGUGGGGGAUAACGUAGGGAAACUUACGCUAAUACCGCAUACGACCUACGGGUGAAAGCAGGGGACCUUCGGGCCUUGCGCGAUUGAAUGAGCCGAUGUCGGAUUAGCUAGUUGGCGGGGUAAAGGCCCACCAAGGCGACGCUCCGUAGCUGGUCUGAGAGGAUACUCAGCCACACUGGAACGGAGACAUGGUCCAGGCUCCUACGGGAGGCAGCAGUGGGGAAUAUUGGACAAUGGGCGCAAGCCUGAUCCAGCCAUACCGCGUGGGUGAAGAAGGCCUUCGGGUUGUAAAGCCCUUUUGUUGGGAAAGAAAUCCAGCUGGCUAAUACCCGGUUGGGAUGACGGUACCCAAAGAAUAAGCACCGGCUAACUUCGUGCCAGCAGCAGCCGCCG